rnacentral:rRNA from 1 species
AGAGUUUGAUCCUGGCUCAGGAUGAACGCUGGCGGCGUGCCUAAUACAUGCAAGUCGAACGAGUUCUGAUUAUUGAAGGGUGCUUGCAUCUUGAUCUAAUUUUGAACGAGUGGCGGACGGGUGAGUAACACGUGGGUAACCUGCCCUUAAGUGGGGGAUAACAUUUGGAAACAGAUGCUAAUACCGCAUAAAUCCAAGAACCGCAUGGUUCUUGGCAGAAAGAUGGCGUAAGCUAUCGCUUUUGGAUGGACCCGCGGCGUAUUAGCUAGUUGGUGAGGUAACGGCUCACCAAGGCAAUGAUACGUAGCCGAACUGAGAGGUUGAUCGGCCACAUUGGGACUGAGACACGGCCCAAACUCCUACGGGAGGCAGCAGUAGGGAAUCUUCCACAAUGGACGCAAGUCUGAUGGAGCAACGCCGCGUGAGUGAAGAAGGCUUUCGGGUCGUAAAACUCUGUUGUUGGAGAAGAAUGGUCGGCAGAGUAACUGUUGUCGGCGUGACGGUAUCCAACCAGAAAGCCACGGCUAACUACGUGCCAGCAGCCGCGGUAAUACGUAGGUGGCAAGCGUUAUCCGGAUUUAUUGGGCGUAAAGCGAGCGCAGGCGGUUUUUUAAGUCUGAUGUGAAAGCCCUCGGCUUAACCGAGGAAGUGCAUCGGAAACUGGGAAACUUGAGUGCAGAAGAGGACAGUGGAACUCCAUGUGUAGCGGUGAAAUGCGUAGAUAUAUGGAAGAACACCAGUGGCGAAGGCGGCUGUCUGGUCUGUAACUGACGCUGAGGCUCGGAAGCAUGGGUAGCGAACAGGAUUGGAUACCCUGGUAGUCCAUGCCGUAAACGAUGAAUGCUAGGUGUUGGAGGGUUCCCGCCCUUCAGUGCCGCAGCUAACGCAUUAAGCAUUCCGCCUGGGGAGUACGACCGCAAGGUGAAACUCAAAGGAAUUGACGGGGGCCCGCACAAGCGGUGGAGCAUGUGGUUUAAUUCGAAGCAACGCGAAGAACCUUACCAGGUCUUGACAUCUUUUGAUCACCUGAGAGAUCAGGUUUCCCCUUCGGGGGCAAAAUGACAGGUGGUGCAUGGUUGUCGUCAGCUCGUGUCGUGAGAUGUUGGGUUAAGUCCCGCAACGAGCGCAACCCUUGUGACUAGUUGCCAGCACUUAGUUGGGCACUCUAGUAAGACUGCCGGUGACAAACCGGAGGAAGGUGGGGAUGACGUCAAAUCAUCAUGCCCCUUAUGACCUGGGCUACACACGUGCUACAAUGGAUGGUACAACGAGUUGCGAGACCGCGAGGUCAAGCUAAUCUCUUAAAGCCAUUCUCAGUUCGGACUGUAGGCUGCAACUCGCCUACACGAAGUCGGAAUCGCUAGUAAUCGCGGAUCAGCACGCCGCGGUGAAUACGUUCCCGGGCCUUGUACACACCGCCCGUCACACCAUGAGAGUUUGUAACACCCGAAGCCGGUGGCGUAACCCUUUUAGGGAGCGAGCCGUCUAAGGUGGGACAAAUGAUUAGGGUGAGGUCGUAACAAGGUA